AUAUUCCUUUUAAUUAAAAGAGAGUGAUGCAUUUAAGUCAUUAAUUAUAAAUUAAGUUAUUUUUGGAUAUUAAUGCUAUGUAAUUUGUAGAUUGAAAUAUUCAUUAGUAUAGAACUUGGGCUAUUUUAAUGUAUCUGCACUGAGUUGAAGACAUAUUUUACUUGAAUACUUGGGCACAAGAAAACAGACUGUCAUGUCAUCUACCAUUGUUACACUAGUGCAUCUUUCUCAGCUCACAACUGUGGUUUUGUGUUUCCUUCUAGACCUGCUGGCAGAAAAGGAGAAAUGCUGUACGAGGUUUAUGAAUAGGUCAGUUUGGUAUACAAACUGAAGCCCUAAGUGGACUGCUACUACUAUUGCAGGAACACAGCACACAAGAAAAGGUGUCUGUCUUUCCUGUGUAAUGGACAGGUUUUGAAUCGUGGGCCCAGAAGGAUUGUCUGACGACUGGUCGAAUGGCAAGCAUCUUACUCAAAUAGAGUCAUAAGGUCUCUUCUCUGGGAAUUUUAGCCCUUGGAAAUUAUGUGGGCACCUGGACUAUCACAUAUACACUGGGGAGCUGUAUGUGGUAGCCAUUUUCUGCUACAAGAUCUAAGAAACAGAAGUUAGUUUGCAAUGAAAGAUUAAUAAUACAACAGAAUUAUAAGGAAUGUCCAUUUGUGCUUUAGCAACUUGAAGCUUCAGUGAAAAGAAUCAGAACACAGAGAAAACUUGCUGCUAGGACAAAAAUGAAGGAAAGAAUCAUCCCAGGAUGGUGAUACUCGGGUUACAGGCUCACAGGCAGAAGGGACUUGGCCUUUCUCAGAUGAGACUUUGGACUGUGGACUUCAGAGGUAAUGCUGAAAUGAGUUGACUUUGGGGGGACUGUUGGGAUGGCAUGAUUGGUUAUGAAAUGUGAUGACAUGAGAUUUUGGGAGGAGCCAGCUACCGCUCAUAAGGUUUCACUCUCUGUCCCCACUCAAAUCUCAUCUUGAAUUGUACUCCCAUAAUUCCCAUGUGCUAUG